UACGAAGGGAGCUAGCGUUGUUCGGAAUUACUGGGCGUAAAGCGCGCGUAGGUGGCUUUUCAAGUCAGAGGUGAAAUCCCAGAGCCUAACUCUGGAAUUGCCUUUGAAACUGUUAAGCUUGAGUAUCGGAGGGGAUGGUGGAAUUUCUAAUGUAGCGGUGAAAUGCGUAGAUAUUAGAAGGAACACCGGUGGCGAAGGCGACCAUCUGGACGAUAACUGACACUGAGGCGCGAAAGCGUGGGGAUCAAACAGG
rnacentral:rRNA from 1 species